rnacentral:rRNA from 1 species
AGUGAACGCUGGCGGUAGGCCUAACACAUGCAAGUCGAACGGAAGCACAGUAAGGGCUUGCUCUUACGGGUGGCGAGUGGCGGACGGGUGAGGAAUACAUCGGAAUCUACUUUUUCGUGGGGGAUAACGUAGGGAAACUUACGCUAAUACAGCAUACGACCUACGGGUGAAAGCAGGGGAUCUUCGGACCUUGCGUGAUUGAAUGAGCCGAUGUCGGAUUAGCUCGUUGGCGGGGUAAAGGCCCACCAAGGCGACGAUCCGUAGCUGGUCUGAGAGGAUGAUCAGCCACACUGGAACUGAGACACGGUCGAGACUCCUGCGGGAGGCAGCAGUGGGGAAUAUUGGACAAUGGGCGCAAGCCUGAUCCAGCCAUACCGCGUGGGUGAAGAAGGACUUCGGGUUGUAAAGCCCUUUUGUUGGGAAAGGAAAACAGCAGGUUAAUACCCCGCUGUUCUGACGGUACCCAAAGAAGAAGCACCGGCUAACUUCGUG